AUAAGGGAGUAGCAAGUAGUUCUCUACUUUAACGGAGUAGAGUCUAUUCAGGGAGUUGCGCCCCUGCUCCUUAAGCCAGCUAUAACGAUCAGAUAAUGAAAGUUUCUUCGGUUACUAUGACGUUUUCUUCAUUCGAUUGGAAGUCAGAGAUCGUUAAGUUUUUUACGUGUCUGAAUUUAUGUCAGUGUGUAGCAAAACGAAUCUACUCUCCGAAAAGAUCUCAGGUUUACUCCCGGGUAAUCUAUUUCGCAACAACCUAUAUGGCGAAAUGGGGUCUUAAACAUUUUAAAUUUAACCCCUCUAAAUAGGCAUUUGAUUUAGCUAUGCUUACAACAAAUUUUUAUCUAUUGCCUGUCGCGACUACAGAAAUGUAAAUUCCUUAACAUAGUUUAGCAGGUCAACAAUUCUUGAAAAUGAAAAAAACGCCAGCUGAAGAAACGACAUACAAAUGUUUGGCUCAAGAAUCCCAAGGACCGGGUAAAUGUGAAAGAAAUUGACAAGACUAAGUAACCACAGUGUUUACAGCGAUAAUGAGGACAGCUUGUCUAUUAAAAUCAAUGAUUUUGUUAUUUUGUGUCAAGUUUCAAACAUCAAAAAAAAAAGUGAAUUACUAUGUUGGGUUAAUUCAAGCCUUAGAUGCAGAUGUGGUUUGUCAUAAAGUUUUUGAGAUCUGGCCAGGAAUUUUUUACGCUUCCAGAGAAAGAUGACAUCUCUGUCAUUGAUAAGAGUGAUGUAGUGUUGAGAUUUUGCCAGCUGAACCUCAAUUACAAGGGGCAAUAUUGUUUUCCACAAGACUUACAAUUCAAAAACAUUUGCUAAUUUACUUACUAAUAAUACUUAAAAUUUUUUAAAAACUAGUACCAUGUACUAUUUUAUGUCAACUAUUAAAAACUGUUGAUUAAA